AGACCCGAAACCCGGUGAUCUAGCCAUGGGCAGGUUGAAGGUUGGGUAACACUAACUGGAGGACCGAACCGACUAAUGUUGAAAAAUUAGCGGAUGACCUGUGGCUGGGGGUGAAAGGCCAAUCAAACCGGGAGAUAGCUGGUUCUCCCCGAAAGCUAUUUAGGUAGCGCCUCGUGAACUCAUCUCCGGGGGUAGAGCACUGUUUCGGCUAGGGGGCCAUCCCGGCUUACCAACCCGAUGCAAACUGCGAAUACCGGAGAAUGUUAUCACGGGAGACACACGGCGGGUGCUAACGUCCGUCGUGAAGAGGGAAACAACCCAGACCGCCAGCUAAGGUCCCAAAGUCAUGGUUAAGUGGGAAACGAUGUGGGAAGGCCCAGACAGCCAGGAUGUUGGCUUAGAAGCAGCCAUCAUUUAAAGAAAGCGUAAUAGCUCACUGGUCGAGUCGGCCUGCGCGGAAGAUGUAACGGGGCUAAACCAUGCACCGAAGCUGCGGCAGCGACACUUUAGUGUUGUUGGGUAGGGGAGCGUUCUGUAAGCCGUUGAAGGUGUCCUGUGAGGGGUGCUGGAGGUAUCAGAAGUGCGAAUGCUGACAUAAGUAACGAUAAAGCGGGUGAAAAGCCCGCUCGCCGGAAGACCAAGGGUUCCUGUCCAACGUUAAUCGGGGCAGGGUGAGUCGACCCCUAAGGCGAGGCCGAAAGGCGUAGUCGAUGGGAAACGGGUUAAUAUUCCCGUACUUGGUGUUACUGCGAAGGGGGGACGGAGAAGGCUAUGUUGGCCGGGCGACGGUUGUCCCGGUUUAAGCGUGUAGGCUGGUUUUCCAGGCAAAUCCGGAAAAUCAAGGCUGAGGCGUGAUGACGAGGCACCACGGUGCUGAAGCAACAAAUGCCCUGCUUCCAGGAAAAGCCUCUAAGCAUCAGGUAACAUCAAAUCGUACCCCAAACCGACACAGGUGGUCAGGUAGAGAAUACCAAGGCGCUUGAGAGAACUCGGGUGAAGGAACUAGGCAAAAUGGUGCCGUAACUUCGGGAGAAGGCACGCUGACACGUAGGUGAAGUGAUUUACUCAUGGAGCUGAAGUCAGUCGAAGAUACCAGCUGGCUGCAACUGUUUAUUAAAAACACAGCACUGUGCAAACACGAAAGUGGACGUAUACGGUGUGACGCCUGCCCGGUGCCGGAAGGUUAAUUGAUGGGGUCAGCGCAAGCGAAGCUCCUGAUCGAAGCCCCGGUAAACGGCGGCCGUAACUAUAACGGUCCUAAGGUAGCGAAAUUCCUUGUCGGGUAAGUUCCGACCUGCACGAAUGGCGUAAUGAUGGCCAGGCUGUCUCCACCCGAGACUCAGUGAAAUUGAACUCGCUGUGAAGAUGCAGUGUACCCGCGGCAAGACGGAAAGACCCCGUGAACCUUUACUAUAGCUUGACACUGAACAUUGAGCCUUGAUGUGUAGGAUAGGUGGGAGGCUUUGAAGCGUGGACGCCAGUCUGCGUGGAGCCGACCUUGAAAUACCACCCUUUAAUGUUUGAUGUUCUAACGUGGACCCGUAAUCCGGGUUGCGGACAGUGUCUGGUGGGUAGUUUGACUGGGGCGGUCUCCUCCUAAAGAGUAACGGAGGAGCACGAAGGUUGGCUAAUCCUGGUCGGACAUCAGGAGGUUAGUGCAAUGGCAUAAGCCAGCUUGACUGCGAGCGUGACGGCGCGAGCAGGUGCGAAAGCAGGUCAUAGUGAUCCGGUGGUUCUGAAUGGAAGGGCCAUCGCUCAACGGAUAAAAGGUACUCCGGGGAUAACAGGCUGAUACCGCCCAAGAGUUCAUAUCGACGGCGGUGUUUGGCACCUCGAUGUCGGCUCAUCACAUCCUGGGGCUGAAGUAGGUCCCAAGGGUAUGGCUGUUCGCCAUUUAAAGUGGUACGCGAGCUGGGUUUAGAACGUCGUGAGACAGUUCGGUCC
rnacentral:rRNA from 1 species